UACGGGGGGAGCAAGCGCUGUUCGGAUUUACUGGGCGUAAAGGGCGCGUAGGCGGCCUGUUAAGUCGAACGUGAAAUCCCCGGGCUCAACCCGGGAACUGCGUCCGAUACUGGCAGGCUUGAAUCCGGGAGAGGGAUGCGGAAUUCCAGGUGUAGCGGUGAAAUGCGUAGAUAUCUGGAGGAACACCGGUGGCGAAGGCGGCAUCCUGGACCGGCAUUGACGCUGAGGCGCGAAAGCCAGGGGAGCAAACGGG
rnacentral:rRNA from 1 species